rnacentral:rRNA from 1 species
GGGACACGUGGUAUCCUGUCUGAAUAUGGGGGGACCAUCCUCCAAGGCUAAAUACUCCUGACUGACCGAUAGUGAACCAGUACCGUGAGGGAAAGGCGAAAAGAACCCCGGCGAGGGGAGUGAAAAAGAACCUGAAACCGUGUACGUACAAGCAGUGGGAGCACGCUUAGGCGUGUGACUGCGUACCUUUUGUAUAAUGGGUCAGCGACUUAUAUUCUGUAGCAAGGUUAACCGAAUAGGGGAGCCGAAGGGAAACCGAGUCUUAACUGGGCGUUAAGUUGCAGGGUAUAGACCCGAAACCCGGUGAUCUAGCCAUGGGCAGGUUGAAGGUUGGGUAACACUAACUGGAGGACCGAACCGACUAAUGUUGAAAAAUUAGCGGAUGACUUGUGGCUGGGGGUGAAAGGCCAAUCAAACCGGGAGAUAGCUGGUUCUCCCCGAAAGCUAUUUAGGUAGCGCCUCGUGAAUUCAUCUCCGGGGGUAGAGCACUGUUUCGGCAAGGGGGUCAUCCCGACUUACCAACCCGAUGCAAACUGCGAAUACCGGAGAAUGUUAUCACGGGAGACACACGGCGGGUGCUAACGUCCGUCGUGAAGAGGGAAACAACCCAGACCGCCAGCUAAGGUCCCAAAGUCAUGGUUAAGUGGGAAACGAUGUGGGAAGGCCCAGACAGCCAGGAUGUUGGCUUAGAAGCAGCCAUCAUUUAAAGAAAGCGUAAUAGCUCACUGGUCGAGUCGGCCUGCGCGGAAGAUGUAACGGGGCUAAACCAUGCACCGAAGCUGCGGCAGCGACGCUGAUGCGUUGUUGGGUAGGGGAGCGUUCUGUAAGCCUGUGAAGGUGUACUGUGAGGUAUGCUGGAGGUAUCAGAAGUGCGAAUGCUGACAUAAGUAACGAUAAAGCGGGUGAAAAGCCCGCUCGCCGGAAGACCAAGGGUUCCUGUCCAACGUUAAUCGGGGCAGGGUGAGUCGACCCCUAAGGCGAGGCCGAAAGGCGUAGUCGAUGGGAAACAGGUUAAUAUUCCUGUACUUGGUGUUACUGCGAAGGGGGGACGGAGAAGGCUAUGUUGGCCGGGCGACGGUUGUCCCGGUUUAAGCGUGUAGGCUGGUUUUCCAGGCAAAUCCGGAAAAUCAAGGCUGAGGCGUGAUGACGAGGCACUACGGUGCUGAAGCAACAAAUGCCCUGCUUCCAGGAAAAGCCUCUAAGCAUCAGGUAACAUCAAAUCGUACCCCAAACCGACACAGGUGGUCAGGUAGAGAAUACCAAGGCGCUUGAGAGAACUCGGGUGAAGGAACUAGGCAAAAUGGUGCCGUAACUUCGGGAGAAGGCACGCUGAUAUGUAGGUGAAGCGACUUGCUCGUGGAGCUGAAAUCAGUCGAAGAUACCAGCUGGCUGCAACUGUUUAUUAAAAACACAGCACUGUGCAAACACGAAAGUGGACGUAUACGGUGUGACGCCUGCCCGGUGCCGGAAGGUUAAUUGAUGGGGUUAGCGCAAGCGAAGCUCUUGAUCGAAGCCCCGGUAAACGGCGGCCGUAACUAUAACGGUCCUAAGGUAGCGAAAUUCCUUGUCGGGUAAGUUCCGACCUGCACGAAUGGCGUAAUGAUGGCCAGGCUGUCUCCACCCGAGACUCAGUGAAAUUGAACUCGCUGUGAAGAUGCAGUGUACCCGCGGCAAGACGGAAAGACCCCGUGAACCUUUACUAUAGCUUGACACUGAACAUUGAGCCUUGAUGUGUAGGAUAGGUGGGAGGCUUUGAAGUGUGGACGCCAGUCUGCAUGGAGCCGACCUUGAAAUACCACCCUU